UAAAAGUUUUAUUUUAGCUUAAAAUUUAUUUAAUUUAUAUUUUAUAUGUAAAUUUUUGUAUGAAUUUUUAUUAUUCUUAAUGAAUAAUUUAAUUAAAUUAUUCGCAGUAUUUAAUAUUAUAAAUAAAAGAAAUUUUGAUUCAGUAAUAAAUUUUAUUAUAGGAUAAAUUUGUGCCAGCAUCUGCGGUUAUACAAAUUAUAAAAAUAAAUUAUAUUAGUUUGUAGUUAAUUUGUUAUUAUAUUAAUUUAAAAAUUAAAUUUUUAGGUUAAAUUUUAAAUUUAUUAUUAUUUUAAUUUUAAUUUAAUAAAGCUAUAAAAUUUUUAAUUUAAACUAGGAUUAGAUACCCUAUUAUAUAAAAUAUAAAAAUUAAAAUUUAGGUAUUAAUAGUUAUGUUCUUUAAACUUAAAAAAUUUGGCGGUGUUUUAAUCUAUUUAGAGGAACCUGUUCCGUAAUUGAUAAUCCACGAUAAAUUUUACUAAAUUUUAUUAAAUUUGUAUACCGUCGUUAUCAGAUUAUCUUAUAAGAGUAUAAUAUUCAUAAAUUUAAAUUAAAUUUUAUUUCAGAUCAAGGUGCAGUUUAUAAUUUAGAGGAAAUGGGUUACAAUAUAAAAAUAUUUGGAUAAAUUUUUGAAAUAAUAUUUUAAAAUUGGAUUUAAUAGUAAUUUUAAUAAAAUUAUUAAAAUGAUUUUAGUUCUAAAACAUGUACAUAUCGCCCGUCGCUCUUUCUUUUAAAGAAAGAUAAGUCGUAACAAAGUAGAUGUACUGGAAAGUGUAUCUAGAAUGAU
rnacentral:ncRNA from 1 species